UACGUAGGGGCUAGCGUUGUCCGGAAUCAUUGGGCGUAAAGCGCGCGUAGGCGGCCAGAUAAGUCCGGUGUGAAAGUCACAGGCUCAACCUGUGAAUGCCGCUGGAAACUGUCGUGGCGUUGAGUCCGGAAGGGGCGAGUGGAAUUCCUGGUGUAGGCGGUGAAAUGCGCAGAUAUCAGGAGGAACAUCCGUGGCGAAGGCGGCUCCUCUGGUACGGUAUUGACGCUGGAGACGCGAAAGCGUGGGGAGCGAACAG
rnacentral:rRNA from 1 species